rnacentral:rRNA from 1 species
CAAUAGCGUAUAUUAAAGUUGUUGCGGUAAAAAAGCUCGUAGUUGGAUUUCUACCGAAGAUAGCCGGUCGGGUCUUCGACCUUGUAUCUGGUUUUGUCUUUGGUAUCCUCAUAGGGUACGUUUCUGCGCUUUAUUGCGUGGUGCGGUAUCUAUGACUUUUACUUUGAGGAAAUUAGAGUGUUCACGGCAGGCAAACGCCUUGAAUAUAUUAGCAUGGAAUAAUAACAUAGGAUCUUCGUCCUAUUUUGUUGGUUUCUAGGGCUAAGAUAAUGAUUAAUAGGGAUAAUUGGGGGCAUCUGUAUCAACGCGUCAGAGGUGGAAUUCUUGGAUUGCGUUGCGACAAACUACUGCGAAAGCAUUUGCCAAGGAUGUUUUCAUUGA